AUGUUUUAAUAACUAAAUCCUCUUAUCCAGAUCCCAAGUUUCAGAAGAGGAUGGCAAUGCGGUCCGUUUCUCCAUAUAUGCAUGGAGCAUGGCCGAGGUCAUUGGUCUACGGAGGAUAACAAAAUACUAUCUCAAUUAGUGGUUCUCAAUUUCUGGUUUUGAAUUGUCCAACGAAUCGAUUCCUGAAUGUGGACGGUACCAGGCUCCAGGAUUGGGUCUGCAGCUUUGCGUCAAUUAUUUUCU
rnacentral:sRNA from 1 species